GAUCUUUUACAUUUUAUUAAAUUUUUAAAUAGAUUUAAAAUUGUAAAGGGAGUAAUACGCUUUAGUUUUUCUUUUUAGCUAGUUUUAUUUGUUGUCACAGGGUAAGCCUGUUGUUAGUUGUUUAUUUUUUUUUAUUUCAAUAACCCUUAAAAGUAGGGCUCUGUGUAAUAACUUUUUGUUUUUAAAAUACAACUCUUCAUUAGUUUUAUUAUUUAAAUUAAUUAUUAGAUUAGUAGAUUUUUAUUUUCUUAUUAAAUUUUUUUCUUUUGUUUUUUAAAGUUAUUUAUGUUUUACUGAUUUAACUUUAGACUGGUUAAUAAAACCUUAGCUAUAAUUUUUAUAGUUAUUUCUGCCCUAUGUUAUUGAAAUAAAUGGCUGUGGUUUUCACACUAAGGUAGCGAAAUCAUUAGUUAUUUAAUUGGUAACUUGUAUGAAUGAAACGCCUAAAGUAAUAUUAUAUUUUUUCUUUGAACUUAUAUUUUUGUUGAAAAUAACAAAAAAGCCCCUAAGACUAAAAGACCCUAAAAUUUUUAUAACUAUUUGUUGUUAGGUUAUUUGGUUGGGGCAAUAAGAUUUAUUAAAUAAGUCUAUUUUAUUUUGUUUGAGAACUUGAAAAUUUAGAGAAAUAAAUAAAAUACUUUAGGGAUAACAGCUUUAUUGCUUUUUUAAGGCCUUAUUAAUGAAGUAGUUUGGGACCUCGAUGUUGGAUUGGAAAAACUUUUAGGCGUAG
rnacentral:rRNA from 1 species